CUGGGUGGAUGAGUGGCGAACGGGUGAGUAACACGUGAGUAACCUGCCCCCUUCUUUGGGAUAACGCCCGGAAACGGGUGCUAAUACUGGAUAUUCACUUGCCUUCGCAUGGGGGUUGGUGGAAAGGGUUUUUUCUGGUGGGGGAUGGGCUCGCGGCCUAUCAGCUUGUUGGUGGGGUGAUGGCCUACCAAGGCUUUGACGGGUAGCCGGCCUGAGAGGGUGACCGGUCACAUUGGGACUGAGAUACGGCCCAG
rnacentral:rRNA from 1 species